CUACGGAACUCCUACGGGAGGCAGCAGUGGGGAAUUUUGGACAAUGGGGGCAACCCUGAUCCAGCCAUGCCGCGUGAGUGAUGAAGGCCCUAGGGUUGUAAAGCUCUUUCACCGGUGAAGAUAAUGACGGUAACCGGAGAAGAAGCCCCGGCUAACUUCGUGCCAGCAGCCGCGGUAAUACGAAGGGGGCUAGCGUUGUUCGGAAUUACUGGGCGUAAAGCGCACGUAGGCGGACAUUUAAGUCAGGGGUGAAAUCCCAGAGCUCAACUCUGGAACUGCCUUUGAUACUGGGUGUCUAGAGUAUGGAAGAGGUGAGUGGAAUUCCGAGUGUAGAGGUGAAAUUCGUAGAUAUUCGGAGGAACACCAGUGGCGAAGGCGGCUCACUGGUCCAUUACUGACGCUGAGGUGCGAAAGCGUGGGGAGCAAACAGGAUUAGAUACCCCUGUAGUCCUCUUCGA
rnacentral:rRNA from 1 species